CCCCUGAAAAUAGUAAGAGGAGAGAGGAGUGUCUGUACUACAAGAAUCUCACUGAGAAUAUCUUCAGAGGACUAGAUAUCAUGAUGAUAGCGCUGUCAGUCCAUCAGAUCUGUGUGACCAUCAGUUUCUGUGUUUUGACUGGGAAAGCUUUGUGCAAGAAGGAUGAAGAUGUAAAGUCGGUGGAGGAUCCAGAACUUCACAAGCCGCUCCUGGAAGAUGACACUCCUGAUGCUGUGUGACACAGAUAAAUAUAAACACACAAAAUAAUCAAACUUACUCUUUGUGCUUGUAGUGCAAUGGCAUUUUGUGUCUCAAUAUUGUAAUGA